GACGAACGCUGGCGGCGUGCUUAACACAUGCAAGUCGAACGGAAAGGCCUCUUUCGGUGGGUACUCGAGUGGCGAACGGGUGAGUAACACGUGAGUAACCUGCCCUUGACUUUGUGAUAACUUCAGGAAACUGUGGCUAUUACCGGAUAGGAGCUCCUGCUGCAUGGUGGGGGUUGGAAAGUUUCGGCGGUUGGGGAUGGACUCGCGGCUUAUCAGCUUGUUGGUGGGGUAGUGGCUUACCAAGGCUUUGACGGGUAGCCGGCCUGAGAGGGUGACCGGCCACAUUGGGACUGAGAUACGGCCCAGACUCCUACGGGAGGCAGCAGUGGGGAAUAUUGCACAAUGGGUGGAAGCCUGAUGCAGCAACGCCGUGUGCGGGAUGACGGCCUUCGGGUUGUAAACCGCUUUCGCUCAUGACGAAGCUUUGUGUGACGGUAGUGGGUAAAGAAGCACCGGCUAACUACGUG
rnacentral:rRNA from 1 species